rnacentral:misc_RNA from 1 species
CUCUGCCUAAUCAUGUUGAUAUGUAUCAGUUCAAAUAUAAGGGUGUUUGGAUUUCCUUGACAAUUCUUUCAAGAGCACUUGCUGGUAACUACGUCAAUUUUGGGGUGUUUGAGAUUUAUGGAGACAGAGCGCUUGCAGAUGCUUUUGACAUAACUAUGAGGAUGACACUAUCUAUUCCUUUGGCAGAUAUACUCUCGUACAGAAAGCUUUCAGGAGCUUACUUCUCAUUUCUGGAGAUCAUGAUGAAAAACCAGAUCCAGUUGAUACUUAACUUGGACUCAAGUAGCUUUACAUUUAUUGCUGGAUCUCUUGAGUCUGGACUUAAAGUACUGGAUGAAAAUAUCAAAUCACAGUGUGCAUCUGCGGUGGACAACUUAGCUACAUUUUAUUUCGAACACAUAACAACUGG